GAAGUUAUAUAAGUUUGUGAAAAGAAGGAUGUUAGUGUGAUGAGGGUCUUAUUUCCUUGUAAAAUUUCCCUGUCUUUGUUUUUCAGUCUUAUUAACUAACUUCUAAAAGCUUUAUAUAAUCAUUUGAAAAAUACAUCAUAUCAACUUCAGCCUAGGUGAGCUAUACCCCUUUCUCUUUAAAGUUGGUGUAUGCUUUUGGUACAAAUUCUUCAAGGCAGUAGUGUCAAUGGGGUGAUGUUUUGGAACCUGACUAAUUCUGAUUGCUUUUCAGGUUGUUAUGACUUUGUCCUAAAGCCUGGGAGAAAUAAGGAAGUCCUAGAGUUUGAGUAGGGUAUUUGCUGACACACCUAAGGAGAACCUGGAAGGUUGAGGUAUAUCUGCUUUUCUGAGUGCUUGUGCACUUAAAAUAAAUUGCCUUCUAGGCUAAAGGAGACUAAUGUGGAGGCCCAGGUACUCCCUAACAGUGCAGUUAUCUUUGGCAUCUAUUCUGAAGACCAUACUUGGGUUUGAAUAAAGCUUUAAAAUCUCAUUCCCUUCAUCCCACAGAGAAAGACUAUGGCUUUCUUUUUUUUUGAGACAGAGUCUUGCUUUGUUGCACAGGCUGGAGUGUAGAGGUGUGAUCUUGGCUCGCUGCAACCUCCACCUCCUGGGUUCAAGUGAUUCUCCAGGCUCAGUCUCUUGAGCAGCUGGGACCACAGGCAUGCAUCUCCAUUCCUGGCUAAUUUUUUGUUGUUGUUGUAUUUUUAUUGGAGAUGGGCUUUACCAUGUUGGCCAGGCUGGUCUCAAGCUCCUGACCUCAGGUGACCCGCCCACCUCGGCCUCCCAAAGUGCUGGGUUAACAGGCAUGAGACACCGCGCUCAGCCAGCAUUUGCAAUAAAACUUUUGUGCCAGUUUCACAAUUUUUGUGGCCAAAGUCUGUAAUUGAUCCUACUUUUUAUUGACGAUGGAAACCUUUGUCCUAUUCACUGUAGAUAAUGACAGUCCAUUGAAUUUUAUAUAAUUUACAUAGGAUGUUGGAACUUGAACUUUAUUAUCUUUAAGAAUAUGCAGAGCUUUGAUAUUCUAUUAGCAUUCACACUUGUCUCUUCUAUUUAAUAUUUUUUAUUCACUAGCUAUUAAAAAGCAAAGUAAUAUUUAAAUACUAUGGCUGAAAUCUUUAUUUGACAAAAAUGAAUAAUUAGUAGGUUUUCAAAGUGACAUAAUCAUUUGUGAAAACAGGAAGAAUACAGUGUCAUGUGUUGAUGGAAGAUAAAUUGCCUGUGUGAAGAGAUAUGUAUUUUGGGGAGAAGCUCAAGGUCAAUGAUAUGACCAUGUCAUCUUUAAGCGAUGUUUUCCCUCACUCAUGUAAGCCACUUCAACAGUUAUGACUGAUGCUGAGGGUGGUACUGUCAAGAAAUCAUCAGACUGCCUGGCAAGAAGUUAGGCUUUCUAUGGUAGCAAAUUAUUUCAGCACUAAAUCAUGAAGGCUGGAUUCUUGAAGUCUGGCAGAGGCGAAUGUCUCAUUAAUGCUGAUCAGAGAGACAUCUGUGAUGAUCCUGAACAUCAGGCCAAUCUGCAGAGCUGAUCAGUGGCUGAUGAGUGGUCCUGAAGUGAGUCAUGCUGGGAAUGAAGACUCCACGAGAAUGAGGUGAUUACAUCACCGUUUUCAGAAAAUGACCUCAUAACCCCAGACUGACAUGUUGAAUUUCUCAAGGCUUAAGUUUACAUACUUCCAAUAUAUCGCCCCGUACAAUUUGAAUGUGAUUAAAGAAUUGAGUCAACUUUCAGGAGAAUUCAAGCUCCUUAAAUCCACUUUGUCUUGAAUACACUGGAAUUUAGAUAACUUGAAAUUUGUUUAAACCCUUUAUUUACUUUUGUAGAGACUUUCUGGCCUCUGAUGUAACAGUGGCAAAUUCUUCUUUCCUAAAUUGUGCUUUUUCUUUCAAGAGGAAGAAAGAAUGCCUAGGAUUUAUGGUAACAAAUCAUAUUGAAAGAGGAAUUUAAACAAAUAACCACCUUUCUCUAGCAAUAUAUGUCUGGCCUAGAGCUUAUUGCUGGAAUAUACUUUAUAGGAAAUGGCAAAGUAAUAAAAGAAAAAAGCUAUUGGAAGUAGGUGACAUUAUAAAUAGUAAUAUUUUCUGUAGUCCCAGCUACUCAGGAGGCUGGAGAAUUGCUUGAAGCCAGGUGAUCGAGGCUGCAGUUAGAUAUGACUGUAUCUGUGAAUUGCCACUGCACUCCAGCCAGUGCAACAGAGUGAGGCCCCAUCUCAAAAAAAAAAAAAAAAAAAAAAGUAAUAUUUUGCUUUCACGGUCCUCCUUGGUAAAGAAUGAUGGCUAAAAGAAAAUUGUGUCACUUAAAAAUGAACUUGAAACAUUAAGCUGAAAAAUAAAAGUUAGAAAUUAUUAUAGCAACACAAAAUGGUACUUCUGAAGAAUUGGAACUAUCUGUUAUGUACUUUCUAGCCAUUAACUUGUUUUUCUCUCCUUGUCACUAAACCCUACCAUUUCUUAUGCAUAAAUCCAUGCUGAUUUUUACUCAUGUAUCAAUGACAAGGAUAACAUGUAUUGAAAACUAUUUGAAAUA